GCGCCGGUAGCUCAAUGGUUAGAGCGGACCGCUCAUAACGGUUUGGUUGCGGGUUCAAGUCCUGCCCGGCGCACCA
rnacentral:tRNA from 1 species